AUUACAAUCCAUCCACUGGGUCCAGAUUUUAUUCAAAAAAAAGGUUAUUGCAGCAUCUUAGUGCUUCAAAGAUUUUAAUUCCUACAACCAGAGAGACAAGGAGUACCACUUCAAGCUACAGUGAGAAAGCUAGCUCUCCAACCAAUCCGGAGAGUACCAUCAAAGAUGGCACCUUCGACAAUGUUCUAACUGAAUGUGACUCAAAAGCUUGCCUAAAGGAUGGAUUACUGAGAUCAGAGCGUCUAAACUUGGUAAUUUGGAAUAUAAGGUUCACAUUGAUCCAGACAGUGGAUAUGAGUUUCGGUCCAUGAAGGAUGCUCAUCGAUAUAUACUAACUAGAGAUAUUAGACAAUGUAUCCUAACCA